rnacentral:rRNA from 1 species
CCUGGCUCAGGAUGAACGCUGACAGAAUGCUUAACACAUGCAAGUCUACUUGAAUUUGGGUGUUUUAACUUCGAUUUGGGUGGCGGACGGGUGAGUAACGCGUAAAGAACUUGCCUUACAGUUAGGGACAACAUUUGGAAACGAAUGCUAAUACCUGAUAUUAUGAUGUUAGGGCAUCCUAAGAUUAUGACAGCUAUAUGCGCUGUGAGAGAGCUUUGCGUCCCAUUAGCUAGUUGGAGAGGUAACAGCUCACCAAGGCGAUGAUGGGUAGCCGGCCUGAGAGGGUGAUCGGCCACAAGGGGACUGAGACACGGCCCUUACUCCUACGG